ACGAGAGAGAGAGAGAGAGAGAGAGAGAGAGUGCUUCCAGAAAUUUCUUCCUCCUCUGAUCGUCCGUUGUCGGUGGAUUUAGGUGUGUUGUCCACCACUAUUAUGGGCGUUGGGAGCUUGCAAAUCCUCCGUUCUUCCUCCUCUGUUCGUGUUGCAGCCGUUCUUCUUUGUCUUCUCUGCCGUCAGCUCAUCGCUGCUAUGGUUAAGCGCCGAAGGUCCGUUUGUCACUUGGGGCGUGAGUUUCUCUUGCCCUUUAUGCCGUGGACAUUCCUCUUCUUCUUCUCUUUCUUUCUUCUGUGCUCAACGUUCAGUCCUUCCCUUGUUCGGUGGUGCAGAGUCUUCUUUCUCCUCCCUGUUAGUACGCCAGAACCUUCUCCAUCUCGUUUCUACCAUAGUUGAGAUAAUGUAGCUAAUACUAUACGUCCUGCUUUUUCAAUGAGGGAAUUUCUACUGAGCUUAGUGGAGAUUUGUUCUGUAAAUAUUUUCUACUGAUGUAAAUAUGAAUUUAUGAAUUAUGUCAUGAAAAAUAUGAUUAGUUGCUCCACAUAGAUUAUAGUUAAGGGCCUGAUUCUCUUUAUUAUAUUAUCUAUCUGUUGCUGAGAAGCAGAGCUUCGUAUUGCUAGUUAUAAAUUUUAAAAUUUUUGUUGUAAA